rnacentral:rRNA from 1 species
UACGAAGGGGGCUAGCGUUGCUCGGAAUUACUGGGCGUAAAGGGCGCGUAGGCGGAUAUCUAAGUCGGGGGUGAAAGCCCAGGGUUCAACCCUGGAAUUGCCUUCGAUACUGGAUAUCUUGAGUACGGGAGAGGUGAGUGGAACUCCGAGUGUAGAGGUGAAAUUCGUAGAUAUUCGGAAGAACACCAGUGGCGAAGGCGACUCACUGGCCCGUUACUGACGCUGAGGCGCGAAAGCGUGGGGAGCAAACAGG